rnacentral:tRNA from 1 species
CCUGACAGCUCAGUUGGUAAGGAAUCUGCCUGCAAUGCAGGAGACCCAGGUUCGAUUCCUGGGUCAGGA